rnacentral:rRNA from 1 species
UACGAAGGGGGCUAGCGUUGUUCGGAAUUACUGGGCGUAAAGGGCGCGUAGGCGGUCCUGAUCGUCGGAUGUGAAAUGCCGGGGCUCAACCCCGGGACUGCGUCCGAUACUUCCGAGCUGGAGGUAGGUAGGGGAGAUCGGAAUUCCUGGUGUAGCGGUGAAAUGCGCAGAUAUCAGGAGGAACAUCGGUGGCGAAGGCGGGUCUCUGGGCCGAUACUGACGCUGAGGAGCGAAAGCGUGGGGAGCGAACAGG